GACGAACGCUGGCGGCGUGCCUAAUACAUGCAAGUUGAGCGCUGAAGGUUGGUACUUGUACCAACUGGAUGAGCAGCGAACGGGUGAGUAACGCGUGGGGAAUCUGCCUUUGAGCGGGGGACAACAUUUGGAAACGAACGCUAAUACCGCAUAAAAACUUUAAACACAAGUUUUAAGUUUGAAAGAUGCAAUUGCAUCACUCAAAGAUGAUCCCGCGUUGUAUUAGCUAGUUGGUGAGGUAAAGGCUCACCAAGGCGAUGAUACAUAGCCGACCUGAGAGGGUGAUCGGCCACAUUGGGACUGAGACACGGCCCAAACUCCUACGGGAGGCAGCAGUAGGGAAUCUUCGGCAAUGGACGAAAGUCUGACCGAGCAACGCCGCGGGAGUGAAGAAGGUUUUCGGAUCGUAAAACUCUGUUGGUAGAGAAGAACGUUGGUGAGAGUGGAAAGCUCAUCAAGUGACGGUAACUACCCAGAAAGGGACGGCUAACUACGUG
rnacentral:rRNA from 1 species